AUUGAACGCUGGCGGCAUGCCUAACACAUGCAAGUCGAACGAGCGGCGGACGGGUGAGUAAUGUAUGGGGACCUGCCCGGUAGAGGGGGAUAAAUACUCGAAACGGUGGCUAAUACCGCAUACUAUUGGAUGAACCCAUAUGGGAUUAGCUAGUAGGUGGGGUAAAGGCUCACCUAGGCGACGAUCCCUAGCUGGUCUGAGAGGAUGACCAGCCACACUGGGACUGAGACACGGCCCAGACUCCUACGGGAGGCAGCAGUGGGGAAUAUUGCACAAUGGGGGAAAGCCUGAUGCAGCCAUGCCGCGUGUAUGAAGAAGGCCUUAGGGUUGUAAAGUACUUUCGGCGGGGAGGCGUUACCUGCAGAAGAAGCACCGGCUAACUCCGUGCCAGCAGCCGCGGUAAUUC
rnacentral:rRNA from 1 species